rnacentral:rRNA from 1 species
GAUGAACGCUGGCGGCGUGCCUAAUACAUGCAAGUCGAGCGAACAGACGAGGAGCUUGCUCCUCUGAAGUUAGCGGCGGACGGGUGAGUAACACGUGGCUAACCUACCUAUAAGACUGGGCUAACUUCGGGAAACCGGAGCUAAUACCGGAUAAUAUAUUGAACCGCAUGGUUCAAUAGUGAAAGACGGUUUUGCUGUCACUUAUAGAUGGAUCCGCGCCGCAUUAGCUAGUUGGUAAGGUAACGGCUUACCAAGGCGACGAUGCGUAGCCGACCUGAGAGGGUGAUCGGCGACACUGGAACUGAGACACGGUCCAGACUCCUACGGGAGGCAGCAGUAGGGAAUCGUCCGCAAUGGGCGAAAGCCUGACGGAGCAACGCCGCGUGAGUGAUGAAGGUCUUCGGAUCGUAAAACUCUGUUAUUAGGGAAGAACAAAUGUGUAAGUAACUAUGCACGUCUUGACGGUACCUGAUCAGAAAGCCACGGCUAACUACGUG